UACGGAGGGGCUAGCGUUGUUCGGAAUUACUGGGCGUAAAGCGCACGUAGGCGGACUAUUAAGUCAGGGUGAAUCCGGGCUCAACCCGGAACUGCCCUUGAAACUGGAGAGCUAGAAUCUUGGAGAGGCGAGUGGAAUUCCGAGUGUAGAGGUGAAAUUCGUAGAUAUUCGGAAGAACACCAGUGGCGAAGGCGACUCGCUGGACAAGUAUUGACGCUGAGGUGGACGAAAAGCGGAUGGGGAGCCAAACAGGGAUUAAGAUACC
rnacentral:rRNA from 1 species